GACGAACGCUGGCGGCGUGCUUAACACAUGCAAGUCGAACGGGUCUGCCCUGUUUUUUGCGGGGUGGGUCAGUGGCGAACGGGUGAGUAACACGUGAGUAACCUGCCCCUCACUUCUGGAUAACCGCUUGAAAGGGUGGCUAAUACGGGGUGUUCUGGCUGUGCCGCAUGGUGUGGCUGGGAAAGAUUCACUUUUGUGGUGUUUUGGUGGGGGAUGGGCUCGCGGCCUAUCAGCUUGUUGGUGGGGUGAUGGCCUGCCAAGGCUUUGACGGGUAGCGGGCCUGAGAGGGUGGGCGGUCACACUGGGACUGAGAUACGGCCCAGACUCCUGCGGGAGGCAGCAGUGGGGGGUAUUGCACAAUGGGCGGAAGCCUGAUGCAGCGACGUCGCGUGAGGGAUGGAGGCCUUCGGGUUGUGAACCUCUUUCGCCGGUGAAGAAGGUCCUGCUCUUUGUGGUGGGGUUGACGGUAGCCGGGUUAUGAAGCGCCGGCUAACUACGUG
rnacentral:rRNA from 1 species